ACAACUCUAGGCGGUGGAUCACUCGGCUCGUGUGU
rnacentral:rRNA from 1 species